GGAGAGGUGGCAGAGUGGUCUAAUGCGCACGCUUGGAAAGCGUGUGUAGGGCAACCUACCGAGGGUUCGAAUCCCUCCCUCUCCGCCA
rnacentral:tRNA from 1 species